GUUGGCUGAGCGGUAAAGUGCUUGGCUUCCGAACCGGGGGUUCCAGGUUCGAAUCCUGGUAAAGACA
rfam:Biomphalaria glabrata isolate BB02 unplaced genomic scaffold LGTN_random_Scaffold5416, whole genome shotgun sequence.